AUGGGACCUGAGGAGUCCAAGUCCCACAUUCUGGGGGGAAACGGCCUGAGCUGCGACAUCCCCCAGUCCGGCCCCGACCCCGCUAUGGGCCCCGGGCCAGUGUGGCUGGUGGCCGUUUGUAUCCUGGGAGCAUGCCCUGCGGAUGCUGGAGUCACUCAGAUCCCCAAACACUUGCUGGUUCAGAUGGGGACGGAGGUGACGCUGAGCUGUGAACAGACCAUGAGUCAUGAACGAAUGUACUGGUAUCGGCAGGAUCCAGGUCAGGGCCUGCAGCUGAUGUAUUCCUCCUUUGGAAAAGGAGACAAGACCAAGGGUGAAGCCCCAGGAGAAUUUGAUGUCAAUCGGACAGAAACGCAGAGUUUCUUCCUCAAAAACUCCGCUGUGAAGAUGACAGACUCGUCGCUCUAUUUUUGUGUGAGCAGCAGCCACAGUGUGGCAGGUUCCCCUCAGCCCUGUGCACAAAUGUACCCCUGCCCGUGGCAGGGAGUGGGAUAGCAGAGAGCCCAUCUGAGCAUGGGCUGUGCCCCCGCCCACGGAGGGAGUGAGAAUGAACGGAAUCGCCAGAUCUGAGCUUCCCUUGUCAUCACCGAUUUGUACGU